CCUACGGGUGGCAGCAGUGGGGGAUAUUGCUCAAUGGAGGAAACUCUGAAGCAGCGACGCCGCGUGAGGGAAGACGGUCUUCGGAUUGUAAACCCCUGUCUUUGGGGAAGAAAAUGACGGUACCCAAAGAGUAAGCUCCGGCUAACUACGUGCCAGCAGCCGCGGUAAUACGGAGGGUGCGAGCGUUAAUCGGAAUUACUGGGCGUAAAGCGCUCGUAGGCGGUAUGUCAAGUCAAGGGUGAAAUCCCCGCGCUCAACGUGGGAACUGCCUUUGAAACUGGCAGACUGGAGUGUGUGAGAGGAUAGUGGAAUUCCUGGUGUAGGAGUGAAAUCCGUAGAUAUCAAGAGGAACAUCAGUGGCGAAGGCGACUAACUGGCACAUAACUGACGCUGAGGAGCGAAAGCGUGGGUAGCAAACAGGAUUAGAUACCCCAGUAGUC
rnacentral:rRNA from 1 species